GCCCGGGUGGCGAAAUUGGUAGACGCAGCAGACUCAAAAUCUGCCGCUUUCACGAGUGUGCCGGUUCGAGUCCGGCCCCGGGCA
rnacentral:tRNA from 2 species